UAGAGCAAGACUCCAUCUUAAAAAAAGCAAUAAUAAUAAAAUGAAAAUUAAAAAUUUUCUUGAGAAAAGAAUGAAAGAUAACUUGCUUUUGGCCACACAAUUUGAUAGGCAUCAUUUAAAAAACAUUAUAGUAUAAGGCUAGGCAUAUUGGCACAUGCGCCUGUACUCUCAGCUAUUUAGGAGGCUGAGGCAGGAGGACCGCUUGAUCCCAGGAGUUCGAGAUCAGCCCAGGAGAUCGAGAGGCAACAUAGUGAGACUCUCAUCUUAAAAAAAUGUAUAUAGUAUAGAUGAUAUAAAAGGGCCAGCUUGCCAAAUGAGUCAAAUUAUUCCUUAAUUUAAUACAUUCCUAGGUAGUAAGGAUCUUUAGAGAGCUAAAUUAAUUCCUUGCUAUGUCAUAGGAUACCAUUUAUAAGUGUUCUCUUGGGGGUUAGCUUCAUUUUAUGUACUAAACACUUCUUUGAAAGGAUCUUUGCCUUUUUCCAUGUGCUAAUUUGUAUAGAGUAUUUAUGUAUUAUGGGAAUUUAAUUUAUUCCUGCAUUUUAUCCAGGAAACUAGAGCCAGAUGUUUUUGGACAUUUGUUAUUUGCUUUAAAUAAGAUACCGGGUUAAGAUAAGAGAAAUAAAUUGAUUAGAUAUUGCAUCUUCCUCUGGAGAAUGUAAAACUUUUCAUGUUCUACAUAUCAUCAUACCUUACAACUUUAGAACAGACUCUAAUACAAGAAAAAUGUUUUAACUGUCCCUUUACUUACAGAUGGCAGGGAUGGAAAGGUGCGCUCGAUUAUACUAACAGAACUCUCAAUUAAUGGAAAUUCAAAUCGAAGACUCCUGUUGUGGAUCAGGGACCAUGGGUAAACAUGCUUUCUAGGAGAGUUCACCACCGGGUUCCAGGAGAGGUCACAGUACUCCCGCACUCCUGACUGCAGACCCUUGGAUUCCAUUUCAGGCAGUGACACACCAAGAAUAAGAGGAGCUGGCUGCAGCCCUGCCCACGUGUGUCUGCUGGCUCACCCUCCUGUCUGGCAUCUCCACGCCCUUCCUCUUCCGGACUCCCUUGCAUGAGCUUCCAAGCAGAAUGAGCUGUCCUUCCAAAUAUGACCCUAACUCAUUCAACAGCUGGAGCAAGAGCAAACUAGAGCUCACGCAAAGGUAUUAGCAUUGAGUCUUUUUUCCCUCUUUCUCUCUGACUAAAAGGUAUUUGGAAAAUUCAUCUAAAAACCUUUUGUAAAAAUUUCAUUCAUAAAAAUAGCCAAAGGGUUUCUCAAAGAGUUUCCUUUUACAAAGUCUUUUGUAGGGAAUGAAUGUCUACUUUAUUAUUUUUCCUUCCUGUCCCUAACCUUGGAGAGGAUUAGAGAGUCUGGGCAAGGAGAGGAGCCUCACACCCAGCCACCCACACUUUUCCUUGCUCUGUACAGGGUCUCUGGAAGAACACAGAGCCACCUUACAUGCGAGGGAAUGAGACCAUGCUUUGAAGAGCUGGACUUUUUCCUUUUACUUACCCUUGAAAUUGUUUCACUCUGAUCUCCAGGUCAAAGAAGUGACCUACUACACAUUUAGUCAAAAUCUGUUUGUGCAAAUAAGACUUCUAAUCACUUAAGGCAAGAGACUCAAGUCUGGCUCUCCUAGAAGUUCCUACUGCAUGGCAAAGCCCACACCAGACAAUGAAGGAAUGUGGAUUAUACUAAACAGAACCCUAACACCUACUACACAGUAUCCCCACUAUGUAGAGAUGAUCAUGAGGGAGAGGAGAAAAAAUUUGCAUUGGACCAAAUCACUGCCUUAGAAAAAAAACAGAUUGCAAUCCCAUCCAUUUUUCUUGAAAGGUAAGUGAAUUUUUAACAUCUGCAAUGAGUUGGGAUGAUACCCACUGAGGUCUCUUGGCAGUUAAAAAAAGAAAAAAAGUGGUUACCUCUUUGGCCUCUUUGGCAAAGGAUAUGAACUAGUAAUAAAGCCUCAGCAUCAGGGCUUGGGAGUCUGACUCAAAGUGGCUAAGACUAGGAGUAUCUUCUAAUAUAAAUAUGGCAGCAUUAGGAAAAUGGCUUGGCCUUUAGAGAGACCCAGAUUAUCUUCACCUUAAAAACUACCAAGACCCUGAUCCAACAAGGCCACCAUCACAGCAGUAAAUACAUAUCCACCAACUUCACAGAAGGUUUUCCACUGAGACAUUGUGAAAACCACAAUCCAUUACUGGUGGAUGAGUCCCAGCUCUCUUACUACCUGAGGUUUCCAAGCAAGAUUUACCUGUCCUUUGUUCUAGAUUGAUUCCUGGGAUCCUAGACCAGCACAAAGAGAAGAGGAAAGCCUCAAGGGCAAUAAAAGUGAAAGUUUCAGUGAUAGUUUAAAUAUCUGUUUUCAAAUGUUAGCUUUUUUAAAAAAAUACUGCAGGCUGAUGGGUGGAGCAUUUCCACCACAAUGGCAAAGAAUGAAUUACCAGUAGUGUCAGCUUCCUGUUGUUGUGGGAAGAGAGCUGUCAUGUUGAGGGGUGCUUCGUGGAGAGGCUCAUGUGGCUCUCUGAGGAAAUGAGGGUGGCUUCUGUCCCACUACUAGUGAGGAAUUGAGGCCCUCAAAUCCAAUAGUCCACGAGGAACUAAAUUCUACCAACAACUAUAGGAGUGAGGCUGGAAUCCGAUUUUCCCCAGUUGGAGACUUAAGGUACCAAUAACGCAGCUGUUAGGCGCUAAACUGCAACCUGCUCAAAUGUAUACUUUGGAGUCUUAACUCCCAGUAUCUCAGAACAUGACUUUAUUCGGAGACAGUCAUUAAAGAGGUAAGGAAGUUAAAAUGAGGUCAUAAAGAUGAAUCCUAAUCCAAUAGGACUGGUUUUCUAACACGAAGAGGAAAUUUGAACACAGACACAUAUAGAGAAAAGGCCAUAUGAAGAAGACACAGGAAAGAAGUGGCCAUCUAUAAUCCAAGGAGAGAGGCCUCAGAAUAAGCCAAGCCUGCAGAUAUCUUGAUCUAGGCCUCCAGAAUUGUAUGAAAAUAUACUUUUGUUAUUUAAGCCACCCAGUCUGUGGUGCUUUGCUAUGGCAAUGCCAGUAAACUAAUUAACUAAUUGACUGCAGCCUUGCUAGGAACCCUGAACCAGAGAACCCAGUUAAGCUGUGUGCAGAUUCCUGACUCACAGAACUAGGAGAUAAUAAAUAUAUUUUCUAAGAUGCAAAAUGUUGGGAUCAUAUGUUAUGUAGCUAUGUUGUUUUUGCACAUGUGCCACAUAAUGAUGUUUUGGUCAACAACAGACCAUAUAUAUGAUGGUGGUCCCAUAGAUUGUAAUACCGUAUUUCUAUUAUGCAUUCUCUAUGUUUAGAUAUACAAUUACUCACCAUUGUGUUACAGUUGCCUACUGUAUUCAGUACUAUAACAUGAUGUACAGGUUUGUAGCCUAGAAUCAAUAGUCUAUACCAUACAGCCUGCAUGUGUAGUAGGCUAUAACACCUGUUUGCAAAGUACACUCUAUGUUGUUCACAUAACUAUGAAGUUGCCUAGUGAUGCAUUUCUCAGAAAGCAUGCUCAACAUUAAGCGACACAUGGCUUUUUGUCUAUCAUGCAUUUAAGAUACUGCAAUAUAGUUAACUUAUGUUUUAAUACAUCUCUUAAUUCUGUUUUGAUCCCACACCCACCAAGGUGCAAAAUGAAUUUUUUUCACCCAUUUCCGUAAGAAACAUAAUCACAGUGGGCUCAAUGUGGUGUUUGUCAUUUUCCCUGAAGAUUUGUGGUGGUAUAGAAAGCAGUGACAGCACACUGUAUAAAGCUCUUCCAUGGCCUGGAAAUGGCCAUCUACAAUCAAAGGAGAGAAGGCUCAGCACAAGUCAACCCUGCACAUACCUUGAUCUAGGCCUCUAGAAUUGUAUGAGAAUACAUUUUUGUUAUUUAAGCUACCUCUUUUUGUAGUCACCUCUGUUAUUUGAAGGAAUGGUCCAACCAACCCCAAAGCUCUGGAAAUUGGCACCAAAAUAAUUUUACCCUGAAAUCAUUGAAGCUUAAGUUUCAGGCCCCAGUUUCACAUUCCUGAGAGCUCUGCAAGUCACUGGGAGCUGUAGAGUCUUCUAGGUAGAAUUGGAAAAUGAGGUGAAAAUCCCUCAAAAAGUCUCAGAAGCCUGCAUCUCCAAGCCUCUGGCAAUUUUCUUGUGGUUUCUAUCCUCAUUCUAGAUAUUUGCUUUUGAGACUGAUUUUAAAUUCAGAAUUUUGUAUUCUCUCAAAAAGAGGAUUCUCCAAAUUCUAUAAGCUUCAGGCUCUACAAAACCUAUCUAUUCUGCCUAACUAGAUUGAUCAUGGCACAUACCAAAGAUGGCUGUACCUCAUGAGGACUUUUCAUAUCAGACCCUUAGAGGAUAGUAUUUUUGCAUAUAGUUACAUAUAAUUGAUUUUCAUGCACCUGUAUCAUGUUAACCAUAGUCAGUGUCCAUAUCCAAUUUAUUUUUUGUGUCCUUGGUACUCAGAAAGUUACCAGAUGUUCAGUUUGAAUUUUAUUCAAAAUAUAUUGUUGAAUUAGAUUUAAAGAUAGAUUAAAUUAAUUCCUACACAUGAUCUGAUUUAAUGGAUAAAAUAAGGGACCAAGCAUUAGCCUGAACUGUAUGCUUGCAUUAACCAUGAUGUUCCCCAGAGAGAAUAAUAUUUGAGGAACACUGCAUAGGCUGAAAAACAAGAGUUCCCAGCAGAACUGUGGGAACUUUUCUUCUUCACGCUGUGAGACACCUGGGGAAAGUUCUCCACAUCUGGUUUUUCAGCUACUCUGCCCAUGACUAGUAGGAAGAUUAUUUUAUUUUAUUGAUGGUAAAAGAAACUGUUAUUGUUACUUUAAUGAAAAAGAACCAACUGGAAAGUCUAGUGGUAUUUUUGAAGGCAGGGACCAGUUUUUCCAGUGAUUUGCUUCUCUGUGCUAGUGCUCCAAUCACCCUUGCACCCCUUCAGCAAAAUUCUGAGCACAUUGUAGGUGUAGCAGGGAGAUGUUAAGAUGAAAACUUGGCCCUGACCAGGGUCUCUAUUCUGGUUUUAUCCAUAAACAUCAAUAUUUAUCACCAGAUGAUAUUUUGAUUUUUUAUCUGUCUCCUAUACCUAUUGAUCUAUUUUUCACAGCUUAUAGUGGGGAGGGGCAUGUUUUGUUAUUAUCCUUAAACCAAAGCAAUUUCUUCUUGAAAAAUAGGAUGCCAUGCUCUGAUGUUUGCAGUGUCAAGGAAAUUCUUGCUCUGAGAGUUCCAGAAGAAAAGAUUUGUCCAGAUUUGAACUAAUUUCAGAAAAACAGAACAAAAGCCAUCCAAGGUUAAAAGGUGACUUCUGACUCACAGAAUGAACAAGAAGGCAGGGGGAAAAAAAGGCCCCCAAGAUUCAGGCCAAAGUAAAUGAACAGAAGAAUGAUGGAGUGGCCCAGAGGAGGAUCACGUGACAGAAAAGUCAAGAUAAAUUAGUGGGAGGACAGAGGAACAGAACCAAAGACCUGCAGGAUCAUAAAAGAAAGAAUGAAAGGAAGCAGAUGAAGAUUCUAGAGCCCAGCUGAAUAGCCAGGAUCCCUGAGGGUAAAAAGGGAGAGAAAGAGAAGGCAGUGAAUCAAGUCAAAGAAGGGUAGAAAAAUACAGAAAAACAAGGCAGGGUGUGGUGGCUUAAAUCUGUAAUCCCAACACUUUGGGAGGCCGAGGAAGGCGGAUCACAGGGGGCCAAAAGUUCGAGACCACCCUGGCCAACAUGGUGAAACCCUGUUUCUACUAGAAAAAUAUGGAGAAAGGUUUGAGGGAUUGUGCACUGCCAGGGGUGAGAACAUAAAUUUAUCUGCUACAUGAAUGUUUUUUGAGACCCAUCUAGUUCUUUUACAAUUUUAAUUUAGAAUUUCUAUAACUAGCUCUAAAUCAGGAUCAUUAGCUGGAAAUUCUUAUAAAUGAAAAACAAAACUACUGCAAACAAGUGGGAGUUCUCAUAACCUUAAUCAGAAAGGCUUGUGUUGCAUUUCCAAAUCCUGUCUCUAGAGACCAUGAGUUUUUAAUAAUAGCAUUUCCAUGAAAGCCCAAUUGAAUACAAUCACCACCCAGACCAAAGUGUGGGAGAAAUCACAAAACUACUUUCAAAUCCAAGUCUUCUUUGAAAUUUAAAAUUAUAUUCUAUGAUAAUGGCUCUCAAAAACCUUAAUGCAAGGGGGAAAAAAAAAAAA